UACGAAGGACCCGAGCGUUAUCCGGAUUUAUUGGGUUUAAAGGGUGCGUAGGCGGAUUAGUAAGUCAGUGGUGAAAGCCCGUCGCUUAACGGCGGAACUGCCAUUGAUACUGCUAGUCUUGAGUAUGGUUGAGGUGGGCGGAAUGUGUCAUGUAGCGGUGAAAUGCUUAGAUAUGACCCAGAACACCAAUUGCGAAGGCAGCUCGUUACACGAAGAUUGACUCUGAGGCACGAAAGCGUGGGGAUCAAACAGG
rnacentral:rRNA from 1 species